rnacentral:sRNA from 1 species
UAAACCUACUCGUUACCAUCUUGGUUGUC